rnacentral:rRNA from 1 species
GAUGAACGCUAGCUACUGGCUUAACACAUGCAAGUCGAGGGGUAACGAGAGGAAAGCUUGCUUUCCUUGUCGACGACCGGCGCACGGGUGAGUAACGCGUAUCCAACCUGCCCCCAACUAAGGAAUAACCUUGCGAAAGUAAGACUAAUACCUUAUAAUUUCCUCAGAUGUCAUCUGACGAGGAAUAAAGAUUUAUCGGUUGUGGAUGGGGAUGCGUCUGAUUAGCUUGUUGGCGGGGUAACGGCCCACCAAGGCAACGAUCAGUAGGGGUUCUGGGAGGAAAGUCCCCCGCAUUGGAACUGAGACACGCUCCAAACUCCUACGGGAGGCAGCAGUGAGGAAUAUUGGUCAAUGGGCGGAAGCCUGAACCAGCCAAGUAGCGUGCAGGAUGACGGCCCUAUGGGUUGUAAACUGCUUUUAUACAGGAAUAAAGUUAGCCACGUGUGGUUAUUUGUAGGUACUGUAUGAAUAAGGACCGGCUAAUUCCGUGCCAGCCGCCGCGGUAA